GGGGUUGUGACUCAGUGGUAGAGCACUUGCCUCACAUGCAUGAGGCAUUGGGUUCAAUCCCCAGCACCA
rnacentral:tRNA from 1 species